GUGUGUAAAAUGUGUAUAUGGAAAGUUAUACCUUUUAAUCUCGAAUAUAUUCUUCAAUAUUAAAAAGUCAAGAUGUAUGGGACACGAUACACGAUGUGAUCGAAAGACGGUACACGAAGUCACCGAAAGACAAAUGAAAUCGUCGCGCAUCGUGAAAUAAACAAUGGAAAAUUGAGAUCGUUGUUUCUUUCUUAUUCGGCGACACAGCGAGCAGCAUACUCGACGACGCCGUUUGUGCAAUGACAGAGCAAAAGAAAAAAUUCGCUGAUAUGCUGCAACAACAGCAGAAACAGCAUGAGCUGCAGAUGCAGCAAUUAAGAGAGCAGCAUGAGCUGCAAUUGCAACAGUUGCGGGAGCAAGUAAACUUGCUGAAACAAUAACCGCAGCAGCAGCAGCAGCAGCAA